rnacentral:misc_RNA from 1 species
UCACUGCUUACGCAGGCAGUUUCAUUAGAGUCCCCGGCAUUACCCGCUGGCAACUAAUGAUGGGGGUUGCGCUCGUUGCGGCACUUAAGCCAACACCUCACGGCACGAGCUGACGACAGCCAUGCAGCACCUUGCAAUCGGUCUCUUGCGAGCCUGCCCCCUUUCAGGGGCAUUCCAACUGCAUUCUAGCCCUGGUAAGGUUCCUCGCGUAUCAUCGAAUUAAACCACAUACUCCACCGCUUGUGCGGGCCCCCGUCAAUUCCUUUGAGUUUCAAUCUUGCGAUCGUACUUCCCAGGUGGUUCACUUAUUGCUUUUGCUUAGACACUAACAGUAUAUCGCUAAUGUCGAGUGAACAUCGUUUAGGGCGUGGACUAC